rnacentral:rRNA from 1 species
UACGGAGGGUGCAAACGUUGCUCGGAAUUAUUGGGCGUAAAGAGCGUGUAGGCGGCUUUGCAAGUCCGUUGUGAAAACUCGAGGCUCAACCUCGAGACGCCGGUGGAAACUGCAAAGCUAGAGUCCGGAAGAGGAGAGUGGAAUUCCUGGUGUAGCGGUGAAAUGCGCAGAUAUCAGGAAGAACACCCGUGGCGAAGGCGGCUCUCUGGGACGGUACUGACGCUGAGACGCGAAAGCGUGGGGAGCGAACAGG